UAGUUGUUGUAGUAGCAGAACUUGGUGUUGAGUGAGUCGCACCUUGGGCACUUUAAUGCUUGUUGGUUCUGGUGAUGAUGCGGCCUCAGCCUCCGGUCACCUCCUCCGCCGCUAAAUAACCGGCCUCCGCCACCAACUGAGUGGAUAUCUUGCAUCUCUUAGCCUCCACUACAAGUCGUACUCGAAAGAAACACUAUAGCUUGCUAAUACGAACCAAAAUUGUUUGUUAAUAAUCCAAACAGAGUUGAAAAGGCAAGAUUGUUGUUUACAGUCCAGUUUCCCCGUUGAAAUUGCUCACAUUAACCCAUUCUCUGAAAUGGGAACUCAGAAAUCAGAGAGAGAAAUGGGAACUCAGAAAUCAGAGAGAGAGAGAGAGAGAGAGAG
rnacentral:misc_RNA from 1 species